rnacentral:piRNA from 1 species
UAAUAAUUCUUGAGAUGUCUUUUUCCCCA